rnacentral:misc_RNA from 1 species
GUCGCUUGAAAUGCAGGUGCGGCUGGACACAUCUUCUGAGCUAUAAGCAUUACUUAUUUAAUCCCGUCAGACGGAUUAUUUCUACUGCUACAGCUAAUAUAAAGAUCGAUUGUCCGUUUUGCCCGACUGAUGUAGAAAAAACAGAGAGAAAUCUUUGUUCACUCGAUCUCAAAUCAAGUAAGACUACCCGCUGAACUUAA